CCUACGGGUGGCUGCAGUAGGGAAUAUUGCUCAAUGGGGGAAACCCUGAAGCAGCAACGCCGCGUGGAGGAUGAAUGUUUUCGGAUUGUAAACCUCUGUCAGCAGGGAAGAACGGUCACUGUGCUAAUCAGCAGUGAAUUGACGGUACCUGCAAAGGAAGCACCGGCUAACUCCGUGCCAGCAGCCGCGGUAAUACGGAGGGUGCGAGCGUUAAUCGGAAUUACUGGGCGUAAAGCGCUCGUAGGCGGUAUGUCAAGUCAAGGGUGAAAUCCCCGGGCUCAACGUGGGAACUGCCUUUGAAACUGGCAGACUGGAGUGUGUGAGAGGAUAGUGGAAUUCCAGGUGUAGGAGUGAAAUCCGUAGAUAUCUGGAGGAACAUCAGUGGCGAAGGCGACUAUCUGGCACAUAACUGACGCUGAGGAGCGAAAGCGUGGGUAGCAAACAGGAUUAGAUACCCCAGUAGUC
rnacentral:rRNA from 1 species